rnacentral:misc_RNA from 1 species
GAUGAAGAACGUAGCAAAAUGCGAUAAGUAAUGUGAAUUGCAGAAUUCAGUGAAUCAUCGAAUCUUUGAACGCACAUUGCGCCCUUUGGUAUUCCUUAGGGCAUGCCUGUUCGAGCGUCAUUUAAACCUUCAAGCUAAGCUUGGUGUUGGGUGACUGUCCGCUUCACGGCGGACUCGCCUCAAAAUUAUUGGCGGCCGGUACAUUGGCUUCGAGCGCAGCAGAAACGCGAACUCGGGCCCGUCGUAUUGGCUCCCAGAAGCUAUCUUCACAAUUUUGACCUCGGAUCAGGUAGGGAUACCCGCUGAACUUAAGCAUAUCAAUAAGCGGAGGA